rnacentral:lncRNA from 1 species
GUAGACUUUCAAUGGAGUUUUUAAUCUCCUGGAAAUCUGUUUACAUCUGUUUUAUGGAUUCCAUUUGUUUCCUAUGUUGGGAUUCCAUUAUGUUCCUCAGCUCCUCCAUUUUUUCAUCUGUGUCCUCUCUAGAUUUAUUAAUCAUGUCUUGCACUAUGGGCACAAUCACCGUUGUUAUCUGAAAAACUAUUUCUGAUUUCAUUUUUUCCAGGUCCUCUUUUAUUGCCAGUUCAGGGAGUCCAGCUGAUUGACCAUCACAAUGUUCCAUCUUGUUUCCCUUUGGGGUUGUUUUAGGUGAUCUAGAAGUCUGGUUUUGAAACUUGUUUACGUGUCUUCUCAUUUCAACAGGGGAGGGGGGGGCUCACCUCCUCUGUGCUCGUGGUGGAGGGGUGGUACAGUGGCCCAGAAGCCUUUUCUUGUGUGCUGGGAGCAGCUUACCUCCUCUGUGCUCCCAGGGGGGCUCAUCUUUGUUACAUAGUGAGUGUGUAACAAAUGCCCAGUGUCUUCAUCAUUACCGAUACCCAUCUACACACACACUUGGCUUCUACAGCAACCAACAUGGCUUCCUCACAGGAAGCCUCAGAGCUCAGCUCUGGGGCUCAUGGACUUCUCUGUUCUGGUUCUUAAUCCUCGUGUUGGUGAGGCAAGGUGGCUCACCCUGA